UUUACAUCAGUGUAACUCCAUAGCACUCAUUGCAGUUGCUCAUGCUUUAUGCUGUGUGGCUCUGACAGCCUCUGCUCUAUGCAGAGGUGAAAUGGGAAGGUGUUGUCAGAAACCAGGUUAUAACUUGCUGAUUCUUGGGGUUGGUCUAUGCCUAGGGGCUGCUCUAACUUUGCCAUCUUUACUCAGACAAUACAGAAAAGUAGAACUAUGAUGGAAAUUAAAUGAAUAACUACACAAAAUAAAUUGAAAUGGCUACAACAUACAAAAUAACUCUUGUAUGAAUAGCACAGUAUCCUUCAGAGAGCUCCUUAUCUUGGGGGGAAAACUGUCAUCUUCACCAAUUAAAUUACUUCAGUUCUUCAACAAGGCCACCAGCUGCUAGUCUACUUAUACCUACUCAUUCUUCCAUUUUGUAAAGAGGUUACUAGGCCAUCACUGCUGGGGGCUUUGGAAGUUUGUCAGGUAACCAGUAUAGUGGGUCCCUACCAUAUAGGAUUUUGUGGUUUCUCAGACAGAAAAAUAAGCAAUUAAGAGCUUGAUAUUCUUGUGCAAUAAUCCCCUCAGCCUUUGGAGGCCUCUGUUUUUGUUCCACGAUUCUUUAGCAGAUGCUGUCUGCUAUGACAUUAUGUCACAGCAUUUGAAGGAAAUGUAAUGGAUGAUCGGUUUAAUCCAGCAGCUCAUCUGCAGAGCCAGCCCUUCUCAAGGGUUUAUUUGGAAUAUGUCUUCAGCACUACUGAUUGCUAACCUGAUUCUGCAGUGAUUUGCAUACCAUGAUACCCAUCAAAGACACUGGGUUUUCACAAAGGAUGGACUAUGCUGGAAGUGGACCAAAAGUCACUAAAAAAAAUGCUGAGACUGUGGCCAAACAUAUGAGACAUAUGUAUCCAUUUUGGUUAUGCACUGAAAGAGCUGGGUUGGUGAUGCUUCUUCAGUUUGGAAUGAACGAGAUACAGAUCUGAUGUCAUCUCCAAGUCACUGACCAUUCAGUCUAUGCUGUCUUACCAGUUCUUCUAGUAGUUUCAUACGGAUGUUGAAAGAUUAAAUGGGUAAAGAAUCAAACUUUCUGCAAGUGAAUGCUUUGAUGGUAUUUCCUGCCAAGAAAGUUUCUGGGCCAUGAGGAAUUCUUUCUGCCCCCCUUGCAAAUUAUUGGAGUUUGGAGAGGAGUAUUUAGUAAUCAGUAGUCUGAAAGGCCACUGAGCAGUCCAGCAGAGCAAGUACAACGAUCCUUUUCUUGCUUCCUCACAGAAUAAAACUACCCAUCAGAACAUGUGAUGUGGCAAUACCCAUGUCCAGAUCUGAAACCUAGCUCAGAGGGGUCCUAGGAUAUUGCCAAAUGAGGUGUUCUACAGCACUUUCUUUUAAGACUUAAUGAUUUCCUUGCUUAGAGAAGGAAAGCUAAAUACAAGGUUGUAUUUUAUGAGGUCUUUAAUGGUUUCUUCAAUAUAAGUAAGAUUAUCAGAAUCAUUGGAAGCAGUGAACAUUUCUUCUAGGAGCCCCAUGUAUUGUCUUGCACCAUUCAGGAGGGGAAGGGGUAGAAGGGUAUGACUUGUCAUACCUCUCAUUGCCAACAAUUUUUCCCUAACAAUGUUUUGCAUGUAUAAACUGAAUUCUUGGAAGGGGGGGGUCAGUAUUUGUGGUCCUUUUCUUGGUGUAUUGUUCUUUGUGGGCUACAGUUGCAGGCUCUAAAUUUGAAAUAACCUUCCCCCAAACUUCUUAAUAUUUUUGUUGUUGUUCUGAGGCAUCAACAUUUUAGAUAGGGAUGAUCCUGCCUUGAGCAGGAGGUUGGAUUAGAUGACCUCUUGAGGUCCCUUCUGGCCCUUUGUUUCUAUGAUGCUAUGAUCUAUGUCUCUGAGGUGACAUUUCUAAGUGGUGACAAACUGUCCAUUAAAUUACAUCAAACUUGUGGGCAUUAUCAACACAAAUAUUGUUUUCAUAGGAAACACAACAGAAUGGCAGCUUAUAAGAGUGAGUUUUGCCCAGAGACAAACCGAGUUUCAACUAGUCAAAGUAUCCCUGAACAAUAAGGUAGCUUUUCAGUCUUAAUUCAGCUGCAAGGGAACAUUUCCACUUUUGGUUUCUAGACACAUUGGGCUGGGGUCCCCAUUGGGUAGAAUGUAGCUACACACAUUUCUCCCCAGCUGAGAAUCUAAUUGCUAUUAUGUUAAAUUUGAUUUUUAAUAAAAUUAAAAAUGA